GAUGAACGCUGGCGGCGUGCCUAACACAUGCAAGUCGAACGAAGCACUUUAUUUGAUUUCCUUGGGGACUGAUCAUUUUGUGACUGAGUGGCGGACGGGUGAGUAACGCGUGGGUAACGUGCCUUGUACAGGGGGAAAACAGUAUGAAACGGCAGCUAAUAAAGCAUAAGCGCACAGCAUCGCAUGAUGCAGUGUGAAAAACACCGGUGGUAUAGGAUGGACUCUGGUGGGUAUAGCUAGUAGGUGAGCUAACGGCCCACCAAGGCGACGAACCAUAGCCGAGCUGGGAGGGAGACCGGACACACUGGGAGUGGGACCCGGCCCGAACUCCUGGGGAAGGCAGCAAUUGUGAAUAUUGCACAACGGGCGAGUGACUGAUGCAGCGACGCCGUGUGAGCGAAGUAGUAUUUCAGUAUGUAAAGCACUAUCAGCAGGGAAUAUAGUGACGGUACCUGACUAAGAAGCACCGGCUAACUACGUG
rnacentral:rRNA from 1 species